CGAGUAAACAAGGCAGCCGCGGGAACAUGACCGCGAGGCGGUUUUCGAGGAAAGUCCGAGCUCCGCAGGGCAGGGUGCUGGGUAACGCCCAGUGGGGGUGACCCUAAGGCCAGUGCCACAGAAAAUAUACCGCCUCCUACUGGAAGUUAGAGAUUAGAAGUUAGAGGUUGGAGGGACACAGCGGCCGGCAGCAGAUGCUGGUAUAAAAGAGGUUUUUCUAACAUCUGACCUCCAGUUUCCAAUCUCCAGUAUGGGGUAAGGGUGCAACGGUGCGGUAAGAGCGCACCAGAAACCGGGAGACCGGUUUGCUAGGUAAACCCCACCCGGAGCAAGACCAAAUAGGAGGGGGAUGAGGUUGCCCGCCGACUCCUCGGGUUUGGUCGCUGGAGGCAUCAGGCAACUGGUGCCCAAGAUAGAUGGUUGCCAAAAACAGAACUCGGCUUAUCAGUUUGCUCGGGUU
rnacentral:RNase_P_RNA from 1 species